UACGAAGGGGGCUAGCGUUGCUCGGAAUCACUGGGCGUAAAGGGCGCGUAGGCGGCCUGAUCAGUCGGGGGUGAAAGCCUGUGGCUCAACCACAGAAUGGCCUUCGAUACUGUCGGGCUUGAGACCGGAAGAGGUAAGUGGAACUGCGAGUGUAGAGGUGAAAUUCGUAGAUAUUCGCAAGAACACCAGUGGCGAAGGCGGCUUACUGGUCCGGAUCUGACGCUGAGGCGGCGAAAAGCGUUGGGGAGCAAACAGG
rnacentral:rRNA from 1 species